UUGGCCUCUCCUAACAAGCAGGUCGGACCUGCUGUAUCUGAUGCUCCUCUGACUCCCACCACAUGUGGCCGCUGCCACUGGAGCUGUGGCCUCCAGAUCAGAGCGGAGCGUUUGGCUCAGGAAAUGCCUGCAGACAGACACGGAGAGCUGGGGCGCACUGCCCCCCUGGCUGCAGUCUUCAGCCACAUUCCGUGAACAGAGCCCAACUCUGACUCGGGGUACCCCUCGGGGAUGGAAGAACAAAUGUACUUAGGGCAGGCAUUGCCACUCUGGAAAAACUGGAUCCACCUGCGGGUGCUGAGCCUGUAGCAGCCCUCAGACAAUCCGUGCCCCCCGGCUGGAAGUCUGAGUCCUUAAGUACACAGAGGAGAAAUAUGCAGAGUUAUGAAGAGACAUUCAUGCUCCUCCGGGGACCUCGGGGACUGGUGGAGCUCUGCAGCAGGAUGGUAUGUUCAGCACGAUUGGAACUAUCAGCUGGCUCAGCCCUGAAACCUCAGGACAUUGUGUACGCUGCUUAAACCCAGGGUGGAUGGAAGAUAAAUUAUCCAACAAAAGGAUUUACAGCACUGAAGGAAUUGAAAAUUCAGAGAUUCUUCCUUUUUCCCCUCAUCCAUCUGACUGCACCUUGCCUUUAGAAGAGGAUUCCCAAGAGUCUAUGUGCACUGUGAAGCUGUGAGACAGGUAACAUGGCCAGACACAGCUUGUGCCUAGUUCUCCCCAGUGCUGGCUCCAGCCUUAGCACCUGUCAGUUUGUGGGAGAAGCCUCUGCUGAGCACCGAGCUCCAGCUGGGAAAUAAUUCCCUUGUGGUCAGUUUUUUUUAGGCUAUAUGUUGCCUAAGUUAGGUGCAAACAGAGGGCAGAAAACACUUCAGAAAUUCCAGUGAAUUGUUUGUAGUUUAACACUGCUAAACCCAACCUGCCUGGCCCAGUUUCAGACAUAAUCCUUCAGGGAAAACCUGCUGUUAAGAAAACAACCAUUAUCUUAUCUUCAGCCUUUGGAAACAUUAACAUCAGUCUUGUAUAAUGAUUCAAAGGUCUACCUCUAUACAGUGACAGCUAUGGAAAGAGACCCAUCCUAGAUGACUGAAUAAACUUGCCUACCUCUGAACUAGAAUGUCUUCUUCAUGAAAAAGACUGCAGAAUAAAUCAAGGUGAUUUGAA